rnacentral:rRNA from 1 species
AACGAACGCUGGCGGCAUGCCUAACACAUGCAAGUCGAACGAGACCUUCGGGUCUAGUGGCGCACGGGUGCGUAACGCGUGGGAACUUGCCCUUAGGUUCGGAAUAACUCCCCGAAAGGGGUGCUAAUACCGGAUAAUGUCUUCGGACCAAAGAUUUAUCGCCUUUGGAUGGGCCCGCGUUGGAUUAGCUAGUUGGUAGGGUAAAAGCCUACCAAGGCGACGAUCCAUAGCUGGUCUGAGAGGAUGAUCAGCCACACUGGGACUGAGACACGGCCCAGACUCCUACGGGAGGCAGCAGUGGGGAAUAUUGGACAAUGGGCGAAAGCCUGAUCCGGCAAUGCCGCGUGAGUGAUGAAGGCCUUAGGGUUGUAAAGCUCUUUUACCCGGGAUGAUAAUGACAGUACCGGGAGAAUAAGCUCCGGCUAACUCCGUG